UGCGUAGGGCGCAAGCGUUGUCCGGAAUUAUUGGGCGUAAAGCGCGUGUAGGCGGCUCGGUAAGUCUGCUGUGAAAGUCCAGGGCUCAACCCUGGAAAGCCGGUGGAAACUGUCGAGCUAGAGUCCGGAAGAGGCGAGUGGAAUUCCUGGUGUAGCGGUGAAAUGCGCAGAUAUCAGGAGGAACACCAAUGGCGAAGGCAGCUCGCUGGGACGGUACUGACGCUGAGACGCGAAAGCGUGGGGAGCAAACAGG
rnacentral:rRNA from 1 species